GGGCUCUCUUUGGCAAUACAUAUACUAAAACUGGAAUGAUACAGAGAAGGUUAGCAUGGUCCCUGCACAAGGAUGACACACAAACUCAUGAAACAUUCCAUAUUUGU
rnacentral:snRNA from 1 species